GGUAUAUCACAUUGAAAUACCGGUUCUCGUACGAUUAACGAAGUUAAGUAACAUCGAGCUUGGUCAGUACAUAGAUGGGUGACCGCUUGGGACUAUAAGGUGCUGUAAU